UAUAGGGUUUCUCUCCUGUGUGAAUGAUCUGAUGUCGAAUGAGGGAUGAACUCCGGCUGAAGGCUCUUCCACAUUGAUAGCAUUCAUAGGAAUGCACUAAGACAAUGCCACUUGGCUAUCCUACUACUGUCUUCCAACUCAAUAAACGAGCCUGAGAAUUUUCAUCUUUAAUGUGGAAAGAACCUCCCUCAAUGUCCUUACUUGUUUGACACAGAAAGAGAGGCAGAGACACAGACAGAGGGAGAAGCAGUCUCCAUGCAGGGAGCCCGAUGCGGGACCCGAUCCCGGGUCUCCAGGAUCACACCCCAGGCUGCAAGCCGCGCCAAACCGCUGUGCCACCAGGGCUGCCCUGUUUCUGCCUCUUAAGUGUAUACUGGGUAUGUGGGCAGAUAAUCUAUAUUUUAAUUCAUAGAUCUUCAGUGAGAGAGAAACCUCUUCUAAACCUGUACCUAAUUUAGGUGGUGAGAUCCUGGACUUCAAGCUUGAUCCAUAAUGAGAUGACGUCUCUUAGGAGAGAGUAAGUGUAUUUAACAAGGGAGAGGAAAAUAAUUAUUUGUGUCCAGAGACAGACCAAGUAGAUCAAAAUGGUUGCACAUUCAUAAAAACCCACAGUUAACAUUGCACUCUAAGGGGGAAAAACAGAGCUCUUCCUCUAAGAUCAAGACAAGGAUGUCCACUCUCACCACUUUCAUUCAACAUAGUACUGAAAGUCCUAGCCACAGCAAUCAGAGAAGAAUAAGAAAUAAGAGGCAUUCAUAUUGGUAAAUAUGAAGUAAAACUCUAUUUGCAGAUGACAUGAUGCUAUAUAUAAAAAACCAUAAAGACUCAAACAAAAAACUACCAGAACUAAUAAUUUAGUACAGCUGCAGGAUACAAAAUUAAUAUUACAGAAAUCUGUUGCAAUCUUAAAAUGAAGUAGCAGAAAGAGAAAUUAAGAAAAUAAACCAAAUGGGAGGAGUGGGGAAGGGAGGAGAGGGAAAGGAAUGGAGGAAGGAAGCAAACAGUCCUGUUUACAAUUGCACCGAAAAGAACUAAAUAUAUAGGGGAAGUGAGUGGAGGGAUGGAGUAACUGGGUGAUGGGCAUUAAGAAGGGCACUUGAAGUAAUGAGCACUGGGUGUUGUAUGCAACUGAUGAAUCACUAAAUUCUUCUGCUGAAACUAAUAAUACAGUAGAUGUUAAUUAAACUGAAUUUAAAUCAAAAAUAGAAAAGAAUAAAAAAUACAGGAAUAAAUUUAAUCAAGAGUCAAACACCUACACUCUGAAAACAUAAAACGGUACUGAAAAAUGACUUGAAGCUAAUAACACUAAGAAAUGGAAGGAUAUCCCACGUUCAUGGAUUGGGAGAGCCAGUAUGUUAAAAUGUCCAUACUACCCAAAGCAAUUUACAGAUUUAAUGCAACCCCUAUAAAAAUACCAAUAGCAAUUUUCACAGAACUAGAGCAAAGAAUAGUAAAAUUUGUACAGAACCACAAAAGACCCCAAAUAGCCAACCAAUCUUGAAAAAGAAGAACAAACCAGAAGGUAUCAAGACAUACUAUGCAAAACUGUAGUAAUUAAAACAAUGGUACUGGCAUAAAAAAAUAGACACAUAGACUAACAGAACAAAAUAGAGAGCCAGAAAUAAACCCACAGUUUUAUGAUAAUUGAUCUAAGACAAAGGAGGCAAGAAUACACAAUGGGAAAAAGAUGGUCUCUUCAACAAAUGGUGAUGGGAAAACUGGACAGCUACACGAAAAAGAAUGAAACUGGACCCCUUUCUAACACUAUAUACAAAAUUUAACUAAAAAUGAAUUAAAGACAAAAAUGUGAGACCUGAAACCAAAGAAUUCCUAAAAGAAAACAUAGGCAGUAGUUUCUCUGUCAUUGGUCAUAGCACCAUUUUUCCAGAUAUGUGUCCUUUGGCAAGGAAAACAAAAGCAAAAAUAAACUAUUGACACUACACCAAAGUAAAAAAUAUUUUGUACAGUGAAGGAAACCAUCAACAAAAUUAAGGACAACCUACUGAAUGGGAGAAGCUAUUUUGAUUUUUAAAAAUUUUUUAAAGAUUUUAUCUAUUUGAGAGAGAGAGAGUGAGAGCAUGAGCAAAGGUGAAGUGUAGAGGGAGAAGUUGACGAUGCAGUGAGCAGGGAAGCCCAAGAUGGGAGUUGAUCCCAGGAUCAUGACCUGAGCUGAAGGCAGACACUUAACCAACUGAGCUAGCCAGAUGCCCUGAGAAGGUAUUUUCAAAUCACAUAUCCAAUAAAGGGUUAGAAUCCAAAGUAUAUAAAGAACUUAUACAACUCAACAUGAAAAAAAAACCCCAAUAACAAUCCAAUUCUAAAAUGCACAGAGGACCUGAAUAGAUAUUUUUCCAAAGCAGACAUUAGAUGGCUAACAGACACAUGAAAAGAUGUUCAACAUCACACAUCAUCAGAGAAAUGUAAAUCAAAACCACAAUGAGAUAUCACCUCACACUGGUCAAAAUGGCUAAAAUCAGAAACACAAAAAAUAAGUGCUGGCAAGGAUGUGGAGAAAAAGGAACCCUUGUGCACUGUUACAGGAAUGCCAGCUGGUAUAGCCACUAUAGAAAACAGCAUGGGGUUUCCUCAAAAAAUUAAAAAUAGAAAUCCUAUAUGAUCUAGUAAUUCCUCUACUGGAUAUUUAGCCAAAGAAAAGGAAAACACUAAUUCAAAAAAAUAUAUAUACCCUUAUGCUUAUGCAGAAUUAUUUAUAAUAGCCAAAAUAUAGAGGCAACCAAAAUGUUCAUCUAUAGAGGACUGAAUAAAGGCAAUGUGGUGUGUGUGUGUGUGUGUGUAUACACACAUACAUAAACACACGUAUAUACGCAUACAUAUACCCACACACGUGUAUACAUGUCUAUAUAUACAGACAUGUAUACAUAUAUAUACAUCCAUACAUACACAUAUGAUGGAAUACACUACUUACUAAGUCAUAAAAAAUAAUGAAAUCUCACCAUUUGCAACAACAUGAAUGGAUCUAAAGGGGAUCAUGGUAAGUAAAAUAAGCCAAAGACAAAUACCUUAAGAUUUCACUCGUAAGAGGAAUUUAAGAAAAAAAAAAAAACAAAGGAAAAAAGACAAACAAAAAACCAGAGUCUUAAAUACAAUGAACAAACUGGCACUUGUCAGAGGGGAGGUGAG